UACGUAGGGUGCAAGCGUUAAUCGGAAUUACUGGGCGUAAAGCGUGCGCAGGCGGUUUUGUAAGUCAGAUGUGAAAUCCCCGGGCUUAACCUGGGAACUGCGUUUGAAACUACAAGGCUAGAGUGUGGCAGAGGGGGGUGGAAUUCCACGUGUAGCAGUGAAAUGCGUAGAGAUGUGGAGGAACACCGGUGGCGAAGGCGGCCAUCUGGACGGAUACUGACGCUGAGACGCGAAAGCGUGGGGAGCAAACAGG
rnacentral:rRNA from 1 species